AGCCAUGCAUGUCUAAGUAUAAACAACUUUGUACUGUGAAACUGCAGAUGGCUCAUUAAAUCAGAAAUAAUUUCUUUGAUGGUGAAAAUCUACACGGAUACCCGUAGUAAUUCUAGAGCUAAUACGUGCGUAAACUCCAUUGUGAGGUAUUUAUUAGAUCCGAACCAGCCCCUUCGGGGUAUUUUGGUGAAUCAUGAUAACUGUUCGAAUCGCCAGGCUCUGCCAGGCGAUAGUUCAUUCAAAUUUCUGCCCUAUC
rnacentral:rRNA from 15 species